CCCCGCUCCUGGUCCUCGCGUGCUGGAGGCUCAGAGCAGCAGCUCGCAGUCGGACUCCCAGAUCCACAGCUGGCGCCCUGAGCAGUCGCUAAAUGAUGGGCUGUGUAUGGUCUUGCAGGCUGACUGAGGCUCCACACGGCUACCCCCGGAAGACCAAGAAAAGAGGAAGAUGAUCAACCCCUACAGCGCCUAACUCUUCUAACAACAGAAGAACUAACAUUCUAAUAUUGUUUUCCUAUUCCGGCCCCAAUUGAUAAGGCCAUUGAACUUUGUAACUGACUUUCGUCAACCUCGUGACUCCAGACCCUACGACCCCCACCCAGCUGGCAAAAACCCGCCCUAACCUGUAACUUCUGUAACUUUAUACUGCUUACCCCAAACCUAUAAAACCACCUCCUACAGCACCGCCCUCUGCUGAUUCUCUUUUCUGACUCAGCCCACCUGCAUCCGGGUGACUAAACAGCCUCGCUGCUCACACAAAGCCUGUUGGGGGGGGCGGUCUCUUCAUUCGGAGCGCGUUUUAACAUUUGGUGCAGAAAACCCGGACAAGGGUACUCGUUUGGGGAGACCAGCCCCCUGUCCCCUCUUCCCCCUCUGGGAAGAGACCCACCUGAGACCUCAACACAUCAGACCAGCUCAGCAGCUCCCGCUUAGCGUGAGGAACAGCCACCUUCAGAUUGGCUAUCUCCUUCUAGUAGAGACAAAGGAGACACUCUAUCCGUGUGGAGCCAGAGGAGACAAGUCUCUCCCUCUAGCUCACAAACUCUGACGUGGUCAUGGACUCUGGAAGACAGUCUUCCCUUGGGGUCUGGUCAAUCGCAGGGACGCCUGCCUUGAUCACUUCCACAUUACAGUCCAAGAAUCAGUCAGGGAUGCCUACUGCAAACCCUGGCAGCUGCUCGCCCCUUCUCCUAGUCUCUACUCUUUUCCUUAAAACUUAUCUCCUUCGCUAGGGGCAGUAUUCUGCCCUCUAUUCCUCAGUCUUCACCUCUAGCCUGUGUCCUAAAAAACCUAAAACCUCUUCAACUGUCGCCCGAUCUGAAACCUAAAAGUCUCAUUUUUUCUGUAAUACAGCCUGCCCUCAAUACAAAUUAGACAAUGGUUCCAAAUGGCCAGAAAACUGUUCACUGGGCCAGGGCGAGCCCACAGCCUGGGGCUCCAUCCUGCUUCAAAUGCCAAAAGCUUGGACAUUGGGCUAACGUAUGCUCACAGCCCAAGGCUCCUUCCAAGCCGUGUCCUGUCCUUGGGGGACCCCACUGGAAAUCGGACUGUAUGGCUCAUAUUACAGCCACUCCCAAGGCUCCUGGAGUUCAAAUCCAAUAUUCUCCAGCUGACUCCUUUCCAGAACUUCUCUGCCUAGCAACUGAAGAUUGACGCUACCAGACUGCUUCGGAAGCCCCCUGGACCAUCACAGACUCUGAGCUUCAGAUACCCAGCCAUAUGAAAACACCCUAGCUGGAAGAUCAGUCCUAGUUAAAAGCCUAACCCCUCGGUCUCUGCAACCUCGGUGGACAGGACCCUUUCUGAUCGUCUACAGCACCCCAACUGCUGUCAGUCUACAAGACCCUCUCCAGUGGGUCCAUCAUUCCAGGAUAAAGCUGUGGCCAUCAGACAAUCGGCCUGACCCCUCGGCGUCCUCCUGGAAGUCGCAAGUUUCUGAGCUGCCCCCAAGCCCACUCAAAGAAGCCCUGAGAAACAUUGCCCCAUCAUCCCUCUGGGCUGGCCUUCCUAAUAUUCCUGUGCCCUCACUCUUCAUUUCUUUUUCCUUUAUAGUACAAAUAUAAAAAGACAGGAAUGUAAGGUCUUUUAGGCUGACUGACGGUGUCAUAUGGUGACCCCCGGAAGACCAUGAAAAGAGGAAGAUGAUCAAUCCCUGCAGCGCCUAACUAACU